rnacentral:lncRNA from 1 species
CCUCUUUGGCGGUGUGUUUGUCGAGAUCCGAUGAAUUGUGGAUUUGUGAUCAGAUUAUCUAUGAAUUAUAUUUGAGUCUUUGCUGAUUUCUUAUAUGCAUGAUUUGAUAUCCUUGUAAGUCUCUCCGAGUCUUGGGUUUUGCUUGGCCAACUAGAUCUAUGAUUCUUGCAAUGGGAGAAGUGCUUGGUUUUGGGUUCAUACCGUGCGGUGACCUUUCCCAGUGACAGAAGGGGAAGCAAGGCACGCAUCGUGUUGUUGCCAUCAAGGGUAACAAGAUGGGC